rnacentral:rRNA from 1 species
ACGGGGGCCCGCACAAGCGGUGGAGCAUGUGGUUUAAUUCGAAGCAACGCGAAGAACCUUACCAGGUCUUGACAUCCUUUGACCACUCUAGAGAUAGAGUUUUCCCCUUCGGGGGACAGAGUGACAGGUGGUGCAUGGUUGUCGUCAGCUCGUGUCGUGAGAUGUUGGGUUAAGUCCCGCAACGAGCGCAACCCUUAAGCUUAGUUGCCAUCAUUAAGUUGGGCACUCUAAGUUGACUGCCGGUGACAAACCGGAGGAAGGUGGGGAUGACGUCAAAUCAUCAUGCCCCUUAUGAUUUGGGCUACACACGUGCUACAAUGGACAAUACAAAGGGCAGCGAAACCGCGAGGUCAAGCAAAUCCCAUAAAGUUGUUCUCAGUUCGGAUUGUAGUCUGCAACUCGACUAUAUGAAGCUGGAAUCGCUAGUAAUCGUAGAUCAGCAUGCUACGGUGAAUACGUUCCCGGGUCUUGUACACACCGCCCGUCACACCACGAGAGUUUGUAACACCCGAAGCCGGUGGAGUAACCAUUUGGAGCUAGCCGUCGAAGGUGGGACAAAUGAUUGGGGUGAAGUCGUAACAAGGUAGCCGUAUCGGAAGGUGCGGCUGGAUCACCUCCUUU